UACGGGGGGGGCAAGCGUUGUCCGGACUUACUGGGCGUAAAGCGUGCGCAGGCGGUUGUGCAAGACAGAUGUGAAAGCCCCGGGCUCAACCUGGGAACUGCAUUUGAAACUGGCGGGCUUGAGUGUGGCAGAGGGGGGUGGAAUUCCGCGUGUAGCAGUGAAAUGCGUAGAGAUGCGGAGGAACACCGAUGGCGAAGGCAGCCCCCCUGGGCCAACACUGACGCUCAGGCACGAAAGCGUGGGGAGCAAACAGG
rnacentral:rRNA from 1 species